rnacentral:rRNA from 1 species
GUAGUCCACGCCGUAAACGAUGGCCACUCGGCCUUUGGGGGCGGAAUCUCCGUCCGUGGGGGCCUUAGCUAACGCGGGAAGUGGCCCGCCUGGGAACUACGAGCGCAAGCUUAAAACUCAAAGGAAUUGACGGGGCCCGCACAAGCGGUGGAGCAUGUGGUUCAAUUCGACGCAACGCGAAGAACCUUACCUGGGCUCGAACGGCUCACGAACGUCCUUGGAAACAGGGAUUUCCCGCAAGGGACGGGAGUCGAGGUGCUGCAUGGCUGUCGUCAGCCCGUGCCGUGGGGGUGUUGGGUUAAG